rnacentral:rRNA from 1 species
AAUCUACCCCGAAAUUUGGAAUAACCUGCCGAAAGGCGGGCUAAUACUGGAUAGAGCGACGAAAUCCGUAAUUGGGUUUUUCGGGAAAGGGAGGGAGCAAUCCCCUUCGUUUCGGGAUGAGCCUGCGUCUCAUUAGCUAGUUGGUGGGGUAAUGGCCCACCAAGGCAUUGAUGAGUAGCUGGUCUGAGAGGAUGAUCAGCCACACUGGAACUGAAACACGGUCCAGACUCCUACGGGAGGCAGCAGUGGGGAAUCUUGCGCAAUGGACGAAAGUCUGACGCAGCCACGCCGCGUGAGU